AGCAGCCGCGGUAAUUCCAGCUCCAAUAGCGUAUAUUAAAGUUGUUGCAGUUAAAAAGCUCGUAGUUGAAUUUCGGGGUCAGUAGGUCGGUCGUGCCACUGGUAUGAACUGGUUUUACUGAUUCCUCCCUCUUGAAGAACUGUAAUGCCAUUAAUUUGGUGUUGCAGGGAAUCAGGACUGUUACUUUGAAAAAUUAGAGUGUUUAAAGCAGGCUUUAGCUUGAAUACAUUAGCAUGGAAUAAUGAAAUAGGACGUUUGAUCCUAUUUUGUUGGUUUCUAGGAUUGACGUAAUGAUUAAUAGGGAUAGUUGGGGGCAUUAGUAUUCAAUUGUCAGAGGUGAAAUUCUUGGAUUUAUUGAAGACUAACUACUGCGAAAGCAUUUGCCAAGGAUGUUUUCAUUAAUCAAGAACGAAAGUUAGGGGAUCGAAGACGAUCAGAUACCGUCGUAGUCUUAACCAUAAACUAUGCCGACUAGGGAUCGGAUGAUGUUAAUUUUUAAUGUAC
rnacentral:rRNA from 1 species